rnacentral:rRNA from 1 species
UGUUGCCUGCAAGGGCGUAUGGUGGAUGCCUUGGCAGACAGGACCGAUGAAGGACGUUUGAGGCUGCGAUAUGCCUCGGGGAGCCGCCAACAGGGCUUUGAUCCGAGGAUUUCCGAAUGGGGGAACCCACCGGCCGUCAUGGGCCGGUACCGCCGUGUGCGGGGGGUACGCAGGGAAGUGAAACAUCUCAGUACCUGCAGGAAAGGAUAUUCCGUGAGUAGUGGCGAGCGAAAGCGGAUCAGGCCAAACCUUGCGCGUGUGAUACCCGUCGGGGGUUGCGCGCGGGGUGUAGAGGGAUCGCGUUUGCCGGCUCCGACGGGCCGGCCGUCAGUUGCAUAAAACCAUGUGCCAGGGGAACCGGGUUGAAUACCGGGCCGCAGAGGGUGAGGGCCCCGUACCCGAACGCGCAUGGUCUGGCGAUCGCGUCUCCCAAGUAGCACGGGCCCCGUGGAAUCCCGUGCGAAUCUGUCCCGACCGUGGGAUAAGCCUAAAUAUUCCUGUCUGACCGAUAGCGAACGAGUACCGUGAGGGAAAGGUGAAAAGUACCCCGGGAGGGGAGUGAAACAGUCUCUGAAACCAUGCGCCUACGAACCGUCGGGGCCCUCUUGUGGGGUGACGGCGUGCCUAUCGAAAAAUGAGUCUGCGAGUCAGUGGCAUGUGGCGAGCAUAACCCGUGUGGGGUAUGCGUAGCGAAGGCGAGUCUUAAAAGGCGUUUGAGUCGCGUGUCCUGGACCCGAAGCGGGAUGAUCUAGCCCUGAGCAGGUUGAAGCGCGGGUAAGACCGUGUGGAGGACCGAACCCACCUGGGUUGAAAACCGGGGGGAUGACUUGGGGCUAGGGGUGAAAGGCCAAUCAAAUUCCGUGAUAGCUGGUUCUCUCCGAAAUGCAUUUAGGUGCAGCGUCGGAUCGAUUACAUCCGGGGGGUAGAGCGACUGGAUGCUUGCGGGCCCAUAUCGGGUACCAACAGCAACCAAACUCCGAAUACCCGUGAUGCGUAUCCCGGCAGUGAGUCGGCGGGGGAUAAGCUCCGUCGUCGAAAGGGAAACAGCCCAGAUCGUCGUCUAAGGUCCCCAAGCGUGUGCUAAGUGGGAAAGGAUGUGGAGUCGCAUAGACAGCCAGGAGGUUGGCUCAGAAGCAGCCACCCUUGAAAGAGUGCGUAACAGCUCACUGGUCUAGUGGUUCCGCGCCGACAAUGUAGCGGGGCUCAAGCACACCACCGAAGACGCGGCAGUAGCUUUGCUACUGGGUAGGAGAGCGUCCCAUGCGGGGCGAAGCGGCGGCGCAAGCCCGCCGUGGACCGCAUGGGAGUGAGAAUGCAGACAUGAGUAGCGAAAGACGGGUGAAGAUCCCGUCCGCUGGACGACCAAGGGUUCCAGGGCCACGUUCAUCGUCCCUGGGUGAGUCGGGUCCUAAGGCGAGGCCGACAGGCGUAGUCGAAUGGACGAACGGGUCGAUAUUCCCGUACCGGCAUGCAACCGGCAAAACCGAAUCCGCGAGUACUAACUUCCGGGUCCGGGCUUACGUCUCCUUCGGGAGCCGGAUGCCCUGGCCUGUUGGGACCGUAACGGUAGUAGGUCAGCGCGGGAGUGACGCAGAAGGGUAGCCGGCCGCGGAGGUGGUCUUCCGUGGUCAAGCACGCAGCCCGUCCCACAGGCAAAUCCGUGGGGCGCGUGGGCGAGGUGCGAUGAUGGGCGCCGCAGGGCGCGAUAUCCGGUGAUCCCGGCUGCCGAGAAAAGCUUCGGCGUGAGGCGGCAUGCCGCCCGUACCCCAAACCGACACUGGUGGUCAGGUAGAGAAUACCAAAGCGAUCGAGCGAAUCCUGGUCAAGGAACUCGGCAAAUCACUCCCGUUCCUUCGGUUUAAGGGAGACCCCCGAUGGUGAAGCGGCUUGCCCGCGGAGCUUUUGGGGGUGGCACAGACCAGGGGGUAGCGACUGUUUACCAAAAACACAGGAGCGUGCGAAGGCGCAAGCCGCUGUAUACGCUCUGACGCCUGCCCGGUGCCGGAAGGUUAAGAGGAUCCGUCAGGCCUCGGCCGAAGCGGUGAAUUCAAGCCCCGGUAAACGGCGGUGGUAACUAUAACCAUCCUAAGGUAGCGAAAUUCCUUGUCGGGUAAGUUCCGACCUGCACGAAUGGCGUAACGACUUCCCCACUGUCUCGACCAGGAGCUCGGCGAAAUUGCAGUACGAGUAAAGAUGCUCGUUAAGCGCAGAAGGACGAAAAGACCCCGGGACCUUUACUAUACCUUGGUAUUGGCAUUCGGUGUGGAUUGUGUAGCAUAGGCGGAAGGCUUCGAAGCCACGGCGCCAGCCGCGGUGGAGCCGCAAGGUGAAAUACCGCUCUGUUCGCAUUGGAUGUCUAACCUCGACCAGUCAUCCUGGUCAGGGACAGUGCCUGGCGGGUAGUUUAACUGGGGCGGUUGCCUCCCAAAGAGUAACGGAGGCGCUCAAAGGUUCCCUCAGCCCGGUUGGCAAUCGGGUGGCGAGUGUAAGUGCACAAGGGAGCUUGACUGCGAGACUGACGGGUCGAGCAGGGACGAAAGUCGGAACUAGUGAUCCGGUGCCGGUGUACGGACGCGGCAUCGCUCAACGGAUAAAAGGUACCCCGGGGAUAACAGGCUGAUCAUUCCCAAGAGUCCAUAUCGACGGGAUGGUUUGGCACCUCGAUGUCGGCUCGUCGCAUCCUGGGGCUGGAGCAGGUCCCAAGGGUUCGGCUGUUCGCCGAUUAAAGCGGCACGCGAGCUGGGUUCAGAACGUCGUGAGACAGUUUGGUCUCUAUCCUCUGCGCUCGUCGGAAUGUUGAGGAGGCCUGCCCAUAGUACGAGAGGACCUGGGUGGACGAACCUCUGGUAUGCCGGUUGUCACGCCAGUGGCACGGCCGGUUGGCUACGUUCGGAAGGGAUAACCGCUGAAAGCAUCUAAGCGGGAAGCCUGCUCCAAGAUAAGCAUUCCAUAGGACUACGGGUCCUUGAAGUCCCCAUGCAGAACACGUGGUUGAUAGGCCGGACGUGGAAGCCCCGCGAGGGGUGGAGCCGACCGGUACUAACGGACGAAAGGCAACACAAC